rnacentral:rRNA from 1 species
UAUUACGAGCUUAAGCUUAAAACCCAAAGGACUUGACGGUGUCCCACCCCCCUAGAGGAGCCUGUUCUAUAAUCGAUACUCCCCGCUAAACCUCACCAUUUUUUGCCUCUCAGCCUGUAUACCUCCGUCGCAAGCUUACCCUGUGAACGCCAUCAGUAAGCCUAAUGGCCCUUUCGCCAAUACGUCAGGUCAAGGUGCAGCUCAUAAAAUGGGAAGCGAUGGGCUACAAUUUCUAAGUUAGAACAAAGACUGCAUGAAACACAGUCAUGAAGGCGGAUUUAGUAGU